UACAGAGGGUGCGAGCGUUGUUCGGAAUUAUUGGGCGUAAAGGGCGCGUAGGCGGUGCCACAAGUCACCUGUGAAAUCCCCGGGCUUAACUCGGGGCCUGCAGGCGAAACUGUGGUGCUGGAGUAUGGGAGAGGUGCGUGGAAUUCCCGGUGUAGCGGUGAAAUUCGUAGAUAUCGGGAGGAACACCGGUGGCGAAGGCGGCGACCUGGACAGUAACUGACGCUGAGACGCGAAAGCGUGGGUAGCAAACAGG
rnacentral:rRNA from 1 species